rnacentral:misc_RNA from 1 species
GAUGAAGAACGUAGCGAAAUGCGAUAAGUAAUGUGAAUUGCAGAAUUCAGUGAAUCAUCGAAUCUUUGAACGCACAUUGCGCCCCCCAGUAUUCUGGCGGGCAUGCCUGUUCGAGCGUCAUUUCAACCAUCAAGCCCUGCUUGUGUUGGGGUCCUGCGGCUGCCCGCAGGCCCUGAAAACCAGUGGCGGGCUCGCUAGUCACACCGAGCGCAGUAGCACAUCUCGCUCAGGGCGUGCGGCGGGCUCCAGCCGUUAAAGCACCCACCUUUCGCAAGGUUGACCCCGGAUCAGGUAGGAAUACCCGCUGAACUUAAGCAUAUCAAUAAGCGGAGGA